CGUCUAUAUACGUAUAGCAUAUCAAUAAGCGGAGGAAAAGGUACCUACGCUUAGGAUGUUGAAGAUGUAGCACAUCAUACACGCAUGACACACUGCAUAUCAAUAAGCGGAGGAAAAGAAACUAACAAGGAUUCCCUUAGUAACGGCGAGUGAAGCGGGAAGAGCUCAAAUUUGAAAUCUUCAAGAUUUUACCUUGACGAAUUGUAGUUUAAAGAAGUGUUUUCUGUUGAAGUUUCGGUAAAAGUUCUUUGGAAUAGGACAUCAUAGAGGGUGAGAAUCCCGUAUUUGACCAUUAUUUCCAGCUUUGUGAUACACUUUCAAAGAGUCGGAUUGUUUGGGAAUGCAGUCCAAAAUGGGUGGUAAAUUUCAUCUAAAGCUAAAUAUUGGCGAGAGACCGAUAGCGAACAAGUACCGUGAGGGAAAGAUGAAAAGAACUUUGAAAAGAGAGUUAAACAGUACGUGAAAUUGUCAAAAGGGAAGCGUUUGACACCAGUGUUGUUUUCUCGAAAAUCAAUUAAAAAUGGCUUGGAUUUUGUGUUGUAUUGACCUUAUAAGCUUUCUGCACUUUUUUCAUGUCUUUUUUAAUGCACUUUUCGUUUAACAAGUCAACAUCAAUUUCUUUUGUUGUAAAAGGGUCAUUGGAAGGUGGCUUUCUUUUCGGAGAAAGUGUUUAUAGCCUUUGACUCCUGCAAUCGGAGAGACUGAGGUCUGCAGCGUAGAUCCUUCGGGGAUUAGAUUACAUUUGUGCUAAGUUACUAGCCGUUUAUAGACAACUUGUUGACUAUGAUUCAGUCCUGUAGCUUACUCGCUUAUGUAUUUUACCUACGCUUAGGAUGUUGAAGUCAUCGUAUCGCG
rnacentral:rRNA from 1 species